AACAUGUCCUGGAUCGAGGUGCAG
rnacentral:piRNA from 1 species